rfam:Parasitella parasitica strain CBS 412.66 genome assembly, contig: contig_1331
GCCAUCAUAGCUCGAGUGGUAGAGCGUCCCUCUCGUAAAGGGAAGGUCGCGUGUUCGAUCCACGCUGGUGGCA